AAAAAUACAAAUAAUAUAAGAAAUGAGGAAAAUGGUGAGGAAGUACUUGCUGUGAGGUGGUAGCUUUACAGUGCGGCUAGCUGGGUCUUAGCGGGAGCCAGCUGGCAAAUGUACGGCGGCGUAUACGCAACUACCGUCGCCGUUUCCUCUUUUCAGAACGCAGCUGUCUCCGAAUAUAGCGAACCCACACAAAACCAGACUUCUUUUUCAAUAGGAAAAAAACAUAAAUAUUUAAUUGGAGAGAGAGGCCAAAACCCUUCCUUACGCUUUUUUUUAUUUCGAUUUUGCCCUUUUUCUUUGUCGAUAUGGCAGCUGGGUCCUAGCACCUCAUGUAGUCUGUUGGCCCUGGUGAUGGGGUGGCAUUUUGGGCGGUUUCGUUCUAGUUUACCAAAAAUGCCCCUUCGUCAUGAAUUAAUUAGUUUGGCACGUUGAGGUUGUGAUUUUAUGGCAUAAUUUUUUGGAUUUAUAAUCCUAUAAUCUCAAGUCAAUUAUUUCCUUUUGUCUUUUUG
rnacentral:lncRNA from 1 species